GUCCUCCCCUUUUACCAAAUGAUCGCGACAAAGCCUAAGUGAAAGCAACCGAGAUCAUUAUAUAUAUUUUUGCGAUAACAACUAUUCUUGAACUAAUGUCUGCCAUGUCUACCUCAGCUAAUUUACCAGAAUCCGAACAUUCCGUACGGUUAAAGUUUUUAUCUGCUGCGUUCUACGCUGUCAGUUCUUUUUUGAUCAUUGUUGUGAACAAAACGAUUCUCACAAACUACAGAUUUCCCUCCUAUAUGUUUCUAGGAAUUGGCCAGAUGACUACUACAAUCCUCAUUCUCUAUUUUGCUAAAAUGAACCAAACAGUUCACUUCCAAGACUUUGACAGAAGCGUUUUCGUCAAAAUCUUCCCACUACCUUUGCUGUAUGUUGGAAACCACAUAACAGGACUGGCUAGUACAAAGAAGUUAAGCUUACCCAUGUUCACAGUAUUAAGGAAGUUCACCAUAUUGAUGACAAUGAUCAUGGAAGCAAGGCUAUUGAGAAAAACAUUCCCUAAUCGUCUUAUCUACAGUGUUCUGGCCAUAGUUUUUGGAGCUUUGGUGGCUGCCAGCUCUGAUUUGGCCUUUGAUGCAGAGGCCUACACGUUCAUUCUGCUUAAUGAUGUCUUCACUGCUGCCAGUGGUGUGUACACCAAGAAGAAGCUGGGAACUGAGGGUCUUGGAAAAUACGGGAUCUUAUUUUACAAUGCAUUCAUCAUCGUCAUCCCAACUCUUCUGGCAAGUGCAUUUACUGGGGAUUUACACAAGGCCAUCACAUAUGAACACUGGUUGAAUGCCCCCUUUGUUUCCUGCUUCCUUAUUUCCUGCAUCAUGGGGUUUGUGCUGAUGUAUUCCAUAGUGCUGUGUAGCCACUACAACUCUGCACUGACCACCACGGUGGUGGGAGCAAUUAAGAACGUUGCUGUGGCCUACAUCGGCAUGUUUUUAGGUGGAGACUACCUGUUUUCAUGGACAAACUUCCUGGGGUUAAAUAUUUGUAUAUCAGGGGGACUUGUGUAUUCCUACCUGACGUUCCACAGCAGCAGCAAACCAUCCCAAAGCGAUGAAAGCGGAAUACAGGGAAACCAGGAUCAGCUGAUCAUUCCCAUGAUGGACGAUUCCAUAGACAGACUCCCUGUGAAAUAAGUGAAUAAACCUGUGAUGAACCAGGGACUUCUCUCUGGGGAACACACGAUUGCAGAUGUUGCAGCGGAUGCGACUGGAGGAGCUCUCCCCCUCGUUGAUCAACUCGCGGACAGUGUCAGCACGCGGGCGGCCACGCCGAAUACCGUCCUGAAAACAAAGAGGAAACAAAGUUUACAGUACCAUCAGAGCCAGAGGGAGAAGUGUCUCUGUAUGAGUGGAAGGCCCUGCAGAAGCUGAGUCGCCCCAAGGCGGAGUUUAACCUCUGUAAGCUGGACAGCAAGGUGCCGUCCAAGGCAUAAAGUCCAAACGCAUUGAGGUUUAUGUCCUAGCCCCAAACCCAGAUCACCCCGAGGACUUCCCUGCCUUAGCUGUGGGGAGAUUAAUUAUUUAUUUGACCAAGACUACAAAGGAAUUCCUUUUGUUUGCAUUUGGCUCCUGGUGAAAUGGGUUGCACUUACCUUAAAGAAAAAUCUAUUCUAACACAUUUGGGUGUUAUUUGUCCUCCUGCCUUGUGUUCCUAUGGAAGCACUGAAGGCAAUGUUCAAUAAGUCCUGUGACAAUAGAUGUACUGUUGCAGA